AGAAUGAACGUUGGCGGCGUGGAUUAGGCAUGCAAGUCGUGCGCGAACUGUAGCAAUACAGGGAGAGCGGCGUAAGGGAGAGUAAUACAUAGUUAGCUGCCCUCGAGUCUGGGAUAGCGGCGGGAAACUGCCGGUAAUACCAGAUGAUAUCUUCGGAUCAAAGGUGUGAUUCCGCUCGAGGAGGUGACUGUGUCCUAUCAGCUAGUUGGCGGGUAAUGGCCCACAAGGCAAAGACGGUAUGGGGCGUGAGAGCGUCGCCCCCAUCACUGGGACUGAGAUACUGCCCAGACCACCGUACGGGUGGCUGCAGUCGAAGAAUCUUCGGCAAGUGGGCGCAAGCCUGACCGAGCCGACGCCGCGUGCGGAUGAAGGCCUUAGGGUUGUAAACCGCGUGUACGGUAGGGAGGUAAGGUUCCGUAGAAGAACGGAGCGUUAGACCGAGUCCGUAA
rnacentral:rRNA from 1 species